AUUUGGUUUCAGUACAAACUUGUUGCUCUUUAGGCAGUUAAGACAGUCCCAGAUCCAACCCUGCUUCAACACACUUACAUGUAGGUUACUCUUGUGAAGUGAGAUCAAGAUGACAGAUCCUGGAAAAAUCCUCAACCUUGUUCUUUGGUGUUUUUUCUGUCAUUUUGCUCAAGGUCAAGUGUAUCCACAAUCACCGACCCUGAGCCUGGUUCCUGUGAGAACUCAGAAAAGCGUGUUUGUCAUGUGUGUUAUUGAGGAUUUUUAUCCCAUGAACCUCACAGUGCAGUGGAAAGUUAAUGAGAGAAACAGCCGGAGACAGUCAAACCUGCAGUACGAACUGAAUCCCGAGGGUCUUUAUACGGCACACAGUCUUUAUAAACUCAGCAAUGAGGCAUUGAUUGGAAAUACUUACACCUGUGAGGUCAAACAUCAGGGAGAAAAAAUCACUGUGACAAAGAUCUUCAAUGGUAAACUGACACUGAAGCCUCCAAUCGUGAGUGAAUUAUUCAACAAUAAUAGAGUUGUGUUGGAAGCCAUUGUUUCUGGAAAUGAACGAAUAGCAGUGCAAGAAGCUUCAGUCUUCUGCAAAGUGAAUAAUAUGCCUGUAUACAGUGAACGAGGAACUGUGAACUUCUCCCGGGAAGUUUCACAGUUUAAAAAAAUUUACAGAAUCUCUGUUGAUGCGAACAAGUGGUUUAAUGGAGAAACGGUCACCUGCACCAUUUAUGACGCAUUUAAUGACAGAGACAUCAAGCAGGAAAUCAGUAUUGAUAAAGGAGAUAGACAGACACCCAGAGUUGUCAUUUACAAACCUGAUCAUUUCAGCACAGACAGAGUCUCUCUGGUGUGUGAAGUCAGCAGCCCAAACCUGGGUGACGUCUAUAUCAUGUGGCAACUGGGUGAACAGCCUUAUAUAGAGGGCUCAACCAACACUCGCGUCCACCAGAAAGAUUUUACAUCUGUUCUCAGCAUUCUGACGAUACCAAAAAGACAGUAUGAAGAUCACCAAAACAUCUUCACUUGCGCAGUCAAACAUGCCAACAUGAAAGAUACAGCAUCUCCAUUACUAAUUUCAACGUCUAGAAGUAAAAAAGAAUCGAAGGCAUGUGAAUGUGACUAUUAUAGAUGAAGAUCCCACAAGAUCAUGAAUGGUUAUCUCACUCGUAUGUUCUUCAUUGUCAGAUCAUCUAUGUUUUUUAUUUCUGGCUUUGUCUUUGAUGCAGUACAGUGUGAUGAACACAAUACAUUCAUAAUUAUGUGCUUCAUUUGUUUGUAUUCAAAUAAAUACAGU